UACGUAGGGUGCGAGCGUUAAUCGGAAUUACUGGGCGUAAAGCGUGCGCAGGCGGUUCGUUGUGUCGGUGGUGAAAUCCCCGGGCUUAACCUGGGAAUGGCCAUGGAAACUGGCGAACUGGAGUGCGGCAGAGGGGGGUGGAAUUCCUGGUGUAGCAGUGAAAUGCGUAGAUAUCAGGAGGAACACCGAUGGCGAAGGCAGGUCUCUGGGCAUGUCCUGACGCUGAGGAGCGAAAGUGUGGGGAGCGAACAGG
rnacentral:rRNA from 1 species